UGGGGAAUAUUGCACAAUGGAGGGAACUCUGAUGCAGCGACGCCGCGUGAGUGAUGAAGGAACUCGUUUCGUAAAACUCUGUUCUAUGGGAAGAAAAGGACUGUACCAUAGGAGAAAGCUCCGGCUAAAUACGUGCCAGCAGCCGCGGUAAUACGUAUGGAGCGAGCGUUGUCCGGAAUUAUUGGGCGUAAAGGGUGCGCAGGCGGCUUUACAAGUUGGAUGUGAAAUAUUGUGGCUCAACCACAAACGUGCAUCCAAAACUGCAAAGCUUGAGUUAAGGGGAGGUAAGUGGAAUUCCUGGUGUAGCGGUGGAAUGCGUAGAUAUCAGGAGGAAUACCGGUGGCGAAGGCGACUUACUGGACUUAAACUGACGCUCAGGCACGAAAGCGUGGGGAGCAAACAGG
rnacentral:rRNA from 1 species